CAUUUCUUGGUUCCAAUACCUAAAAUAAGCAAAACUGGGAAGACGUAAACUUCUCCAUUCUGUGCCAGACAUGUCUUGGAGAAAACCUGUAUAUCUGAAUGACCAAAGAAAAGUAUGAGACAAAAUGGAAAAUCUAUUCCAGGCCAUACACAGUGUUUUGUUGGUACCCUGGGAUCCACAUGCAUUUCAAGAAGACUGAAGUGUGCCAAGCCUGCAGGACAUUGAGGAACAUCUGCCAGGCCUGCCUCUUAGUCCUUGAGUAUGGCCUGUCCAUUCAGGUUCAUGAUACAGAAUUGUCUUUAAAAGAUGACUUGGCAAAGUCAGACAUCAAUGAAGAGUACUAUAUGCAGAAUAUAACAGACAGAACACAGCUAGUUGGCCAGCUGGGAGAGUCACAUACACCAGUGACGUGCUGUACAAACUGGCACAGACCACACCCUACUACCAAAGGAAUAAGCACAUUUGCUCCUUCUGGGUGAAAGGAGAGUGUGAGGGAGAAGAAGAGGGCCCACACAGACAUGGGAAGCCUACAGAUCCAGAUGACCCCCUUGCUGAUAAGAAUAUUAAAGACUGAUAUGGAAUCAAUGACUCUGGAGCAGAUAAGCUUCUAAAGCAGGCUUCACCAUGUCUUGUCCAGAUCCACCAGAGGACAAGGUUAUCACCAGACUCUGUGUUGGUGAUCUGGGUGAUGCCAUUACUGAGACAGAUCUAAAUAAUCAUUUCUAGUUAUUUGAAGAUCUGAGUGAUCACUGUUGUGCAGACCAGAAAGUAGUGUGCUUUCGUCCAGGUUUCCACAGGGCAGGCUACAGAAGUGGCUGCAGAGAAAUCCUUUAAUAAGUUGAUUGUCAAGGGCUGCAGACUCCGUAGAAAAUGGAGAGGAUCCCAAGCAGUCAGAGGAAAAGAAAAAGGACAGAACCGCAGGCUGGGAUCCAGCUAACGCCUAUUCCAGCACUGCCAGGAACAGGAACUCUUCCUCUUCCUGCAGUAGCAACAGAUGUAUCUGCCAACCACAGCAACAUACACCCACAUGCUCCUCCAGCUGUGGUGAGCAUUGCCUGGCCACCAGCCCCUGGUGUGUCCUGCUGCUCCCCCCAGGAUUUCAGCCACCCAUGUUCCAUCCAAUGGGACCAUUGCCUUCCUUUUGAGAGGACUCUAGGAUCAAUCCAUUGUGUUGGAUCCUGUGUUGGACUCCAGGAUCAAUCCAUCUCAGGACCCCCAGAGGAUGGGAGCUCGUUCUGGAAACCACAGCAGCCCC
rnacentral:lncRNA from 1 species